UCAUAGCUUGCUAUGAUAACAAUUAGUGGCAGACGGGUGAGUAAUGCAUAGGAAUCUACCUAGUAGUAUGGGAUAGCCACUAGAAAUGGUGGGUAAUACUGUAUAAUCCCUGCGGGGGAAAGAUUUAUCGCUAUUAGAUGAGCCUAUGUUAGAUUAGCUAGUUGGUAGGGUAAAGGCCUACCAAGGCAGUGAUCUAUAGCUGGUCUGAGAGGAUGAUCAGCCACACUGGAACUGAGAUACGGUCCAGACUCCUACGGGAGGCAGCAGUGGGGAAUAUUGGACAAUGGGCGCAAGCCUGAUCCAGCUAUGCCGCGUGAGUGAGGA
rnacentral:rRNA from 1 species